rnacentral:rRNA from 1 species
AACGAACGCUGGCGGCAGGCUUAACACAUGCAAGUCGAGCGCCCCGCAAGGGGAGCGGCAGACGGGUGAGUAACACGUGGGAAUCUACCCAUCCCUACGGAACAACUCCGGGAAACUGGAGCUAAUACCGUAUACGCCCUUGGGGGGAAAGAUUUAUCGGGGAUGGAUGGGCCCGCGUCGGAUUAGCUAGUUGGUGGGGUAAAGGCCUACCAAGGCGACGAUCCGUAGCUGGUCUGAGAGGAUGAUCAGCCACACUGGGACUGAGACACGGCCCAGACUCCUACGGGAGGCAGCAGUGGGGAAUAUUGGACAAUGGGCGCAAGCCUGAUCCAGCCAUGCCGCGUGAGUGAUGAAGGCCUUAGGGUUGUAAAGCUCUUUCGCCAGGGACGAUAAUGACGGUACCUGGAUAAGAAGCCCCGGCUAACUUCGUGCCAGCCGCCGCUGUAAGAC